AAAUUUGGGAACCUUGUGUAACGGAUCGCCUGGCACCCCGACUGGGUACCUCCGUUAAAGGAUGCUCCUAGCGCUUCCUGAGGACUCCAAGCACUGCAGCAGACACCACAACCACCGAACCGGAGAAGCAUAUGAAUCCUCUCAAGCAUAUGAAUGCUGUAGACAGUUGAAUAGGAACCAUACGAAUAGGUUUACUCUCCUAGCAGUCAAACUGGAACAGCAUACAAUAAAUCCUUCCCCCAAUAAUGAGACGACACUUCACUUUGAGGGUUAAAACAGGAACUC